rnacentral:rRNA from 1 species
GAUGAACGCUGGCGGCGUGCCUAAUACAUGCAAGUCGAGCGAACAGAUGAGGAGCUUGCUCCUCUGACGUUAGCGGCGGACGGGUGAGUAACACGUGGAUAACCUACCUAUAAGACUGGGAUAUCUUCGGGAAACCGGAGCUAAUACCGGAUAAUAUAUUGAACCGCAUGGUUCAAUAGUGAAAGACGGUUUUGCUGUCACUUAUAGAUGGAUCCGCGCCGCAUUAGCUAGUUGGUAAGGUAACGGCUUACCAAGGCAACGAUGCGUAGCCGACCUGAGAGGGUGAUCGGCCACACUGGAACUGAGACACGGUCCAGACUCCUACGGGAGGCAGCAGUAGGGAAUCUUCCGCAAUGGGCGAAAGCCUGACGGAGCAACGCCGCGUGAGUGAUGAAGGUCUUCGGAUCGUAAAACUCUGUUAUUAGGGAAGAACAAAUGUGUAAGUAACUAUGCACGUCUUGACGGUACCUAAUCAGAAAGCCACGGCUAACUACGUG